GACGAACGCUGGCGGCGUGCUUAACACAUGCAAGUCGAACGAAGUGGCGAACGGGUGAGUAAUACGUGGGGAACUUGCCCUCAUUUUGGGGAUAAGCCUUGGAAACUGGGUCAAAUACCGGAAAGUGGGGGAUGGGCCGGCGGCCUAUCAGCUUGUUGGUGGGGUAAUGGCCUACCAAGGCGGCGACGGGUAGCCGGCCUGAGAAGGUGGACGGCACCAUUGGGACUGAGACACUGCCCAGGCUCCUACGUGAGGCAUCAGUGGGGAAUAUUGCACAAUGGGCGGAAGCGUGAUGCAGCGACGCCGCGUUGGGGAGGCCUGCCUUCUGGUUGUAAACUCCUUGCUCCAUCGACGCGGUAGAUGGAGAAGAAGCACCGGCUAACUACGUGCCAGCAGCCGCGGUAAUAC
rnacentral:rRNA from 1 species